GNGNCAACCCUGGUGGCGAGUGGNGAACGGGUGAGUAACNNNUCGGAACGUGCCCUGGAGUGGGGGAUAACUAGUCGAAAGAUUAGCUAAUACCGCAUACGAUCUACGGAUGAAAGUGGGGGAUCGCAAGACCUCAUGCUCGUGGAGCGGCCGAUAUCUGAUUAGCUAGUUGGUGGGGUAAAGGCCUACCAAGGCAUCGAUCAGUAGCUGGUCUGAGAGGACGACCAGCCACACUGGGACUGAGACACGGCCCAGACUCCUACGGGAGGCAGCAGUGGGGAAUUUUGGACAAUGGGCGCAAGCCUGAUCCAGCAAUGCCGCGUGAGUGAAGAAGGCCUUCGGGUUGUAAAGCUCUUUUGUCAGGGAAGAAACGGUGGAGGUUAAUACCUUCUGCUAAUGACGGUACCUGAAGAAUAAGCACCGGCUAACUACGUGCCAGCAGCCGCGGUAAUACGUAGGGUGCAAGCGUUAAUCGGAAUUACUGGGCGUAAAGCGUGCGCAGGCGGUUGUGCAAGACAGAUGUGAAAUCCCCGGGCUCAACCUGGGAAUUGCAUUUGUGACUGUACGGCUAGAGUGUGUCAGAGGGGGGUAGAAUUCCACGUGUAGCAGUGAAAUGCGUAGAGAUGUGGAGGAAUACCGAUGGCGAAGGCAGCCCCCUGGGAUAACACUGACGCUCAUGCACGAAAGCGUGGGGAGCAAACNGGAUUAGAUACCCUGNNAGUCCACGCCCUAAACGAUGUCUACUAGUUGUCGGGUCUUUAUUGACUUGGUAACGCANCUAACGCGUGAAG
rnacentral:rRNA from 1 species